rnacentral:lncRNA from 1 species
ACGAAAAGAGCAUUAUAGGGAACUUUGCAGUAAGAUCCCACCACGCUCCCAAUGAAAAUAUUCUUGCAUGUAGAAGCCAUCUUUCCUCAGGAUAACCUCUGAGCUAGGCCUUAUUGCGAAAGACAACUUCUACCCACAAGAUCUAAGCAGAGCUAAGCAUUUUUGUAAAUCAUAUUUUGAUACUUCACCAGAAGUAUCUAUAAAGGUAUGGAUAUCAAGGAAGGCAAUGCAUCAAAGGGUUCCAAGCAACUCCUAUAAACCUAAUGCACAUUUCACUAGACUUAAAGUGUGUAGAAAUUAUUUAAAAACACAAGGAAGGGGUUGCAUGCACCGGGACUUGCCUGAGUAACACUAGGUUAGUGUUUGUUAGGCGAUGUCCGCUUGACGAGUAUCCCUCGACCGAGCACUUGAUUGAUUUAACCAUCUUCAAGUUGGUCCAUCAACUUCAUCUUGCGAUUUAGCCCGUGCUUGGGGUCGACUUGGCUUAUCUUCUGCAUCACGCGAUUAAUUAACGUACCUGAAUGGGAUGCAUUAUGCACAUGAAUGCAUAUCGACGGAAAUAUUACAAACCUAAAUAGUGUUACACCGACAAGAAGUAAACACUUAGUGACGAAGCGUCGUACUAUUUUAUACGAAAACACUAGCUAUCGACAUAUGACUAAGCGCAAUAAUUACGCUUCUCGAACCUAACGCAAACAUCACAAACAACAAACUAUACACAUGAAAUAUAAUUAGCCUACACAACUCACCAGCUAGUUAAUUAAAUGCUAACCUUAUCUCUUGCUUUAUAAAUUAUACUACAUCUUUACAAGUGAUUAAAAUAUUCCUUUACCACACAGACCUACUAAUAUUCUACUCGGUACAUUAAUUCAGCUAAUUGACCGGAAUAGCGAAAUAACUCGCUAUAACUGAACCUGGAUCGAUAAUCGCAAGAACUGCGAAGUCGACGAGAGUUUUGUGACUUACACAAUUUAUCGAGCACCUUAAUGUGCCUAGCACUAGCACAUUAAUUUAUUCAUCGAUCAAACUAUUCUGAAUCUUUUCUUCAUUUUUUUACAGAAAAACACAGAUAUUUUUGCGUCCGGAUUUUUAGCAAUGCCCAUUGGGUCGAUACACUAUUCAACUACGUAUUACAUUUCCCGAAUCUUGAAAUGGAAAUCCGAGGACUAACGACUUGAUUUAGCGAAUUCUCUAAACUCGGACAAAAUCGUGCUGUUAAUUCACUUUUGAAGAGUUAGACCAAAGCGAGAAGCAAUGGACUGGAUUAAACGGACUUCGGCUUCGGUAUUUUUAAUAUGCGUGAUUCGACUAAUAUUAGUCGGAACCAUAUCUGCUAAUGCACACGCGAUUUUGUCGUCAAAACAGCGUGCGGAAGAGUAAAUUGAAUCAUAUUUGAGCGCACGAUUUCACUCAGACGACGCGCGAUCCUAAAUAUUUUCCCCAAAUAAUUUUAGUCGUCGAGCACAAAUUAAUUUGCCCAGAAUAAAAAUCAUCCGAGUGAGUCGGGCUUCCGAAUUCGUGUUCGCGCAAGCGACGACUUUUAAUUAAUCAUCGGACGCACUGAUUUUCGGAACAACUAUGUUCCGAACAUCAUGAAAAUUUAGGAAGAGCCCGGAUAGAUAGAAAUAAAAACGAUGCCGCACUCGCGACAGAUGAAACAGAUGCGAUAUUAAAAUCACGAUAGGCGAAGACGUUUAAAAUUUUGGCAUCCGUUUCAUCCACUGAUAUUACGUGCUUAAAUCCAAACUCGUUGCCGAGCGGAAUAUAAACACCUGGGGUGUUACAGCCCUCCCCCUCAAAAGAAUCUCGUCCUGAGAUUCGGAGCGAAAGAGUUCUAAGGGUAGAGAAGCAUGUAAACCAUAUCCAUAUCAGCGAUAACCCUAAGACAGUCCGGAGCGAAGGCGAGUGCCUCAGGAUGUCGUUUCUCUAGUGGACAUAACAUGUAUCGCUACAAGCUAAUUUAAAGAUGUCCAUCAAUAGAGACAAUGUCUGCCAGAGAAACACAUAAGGUUUCAGGUGUGUAGUUUGCUUUUUCUGAUGACACUGCACUAUCUGAGUCUGUUAAGCAAGCGGUAAAUACGCGAUUUUACCCAAACAGAAUCAGAUGCACCAUCUUGGGUAAAACACACAGAAAGAGGUUUACCAACAAGUGGUCACGGUAAGUUCGUAGCACACGAGACGGGUGUGAAUAUCGAAUAACAUCACAGUUAACUCGUGGCUAGUCCGAAAAUCCAAGUUCAAGAAAAAUGAUAGAGACUCGAAAAAUUACUAGUGAAAGGAUCCGUAGAUGCUACCUUCGCAACCAAUCCAUUUUAUCAAGCACUAGGCAUGGCUCGACAUGAUCACACACGCUGGAAAAGCACACGUGAGGCAAUCGAGGCACGACUAGAGCGACGGCUAGGUGGUUACUGGCCAACUUAACUUAAUUUUUGUGAGUACUUUCUUAAAAUAGGUUGAACCAAAGUGAGUUCAGGCAAAUCGAUAAAACGAUCUCUAAACUCAACCUUUGUUUACAAAGCAGUUUCAAGUUAGUAAAACCAACUUGUUGAACUACUAUUGACAUUGGACAUGUCCUCUCAGUACUAUCGGUAAGCCAAUGGUCGAGAGUUCACAUUUACUUGCAAAGGUCAUGCAUUUGGGCAGAAGUCCAUUUGGUCAGGUCGUUCACCCGUUUCUUCAUGCGAGAUGAAUUAUCCACUUGGUUAGGGAAUACAUGGAUUGAAUAAGAGAGUGAAUGAGCAAAUUCCUGCAUCUCAACAGCAGGGAAAAAUCAAUCUUCAUUUUGAGAGCUAAUCAGUUGUCUCUCGACACUAAAAAGCUCCAAGGCUUCACCUUUACACAAAGGAUGUAAAGGGAACGUGUAUGUGUGAGGUCACCAUCAAAGUCAAGGAAAAGAGACCACACAUGGGAAGUGGUAUGCCCUUUUUAUUCAACGGAGAUGAUAGAUGUUGCUUGAUCAAUUGACAAACAACAUAGAAUUAUUUCAAGGGAAGGUCCACAGAAGAUAACCAUCAGGGUAAUUCCACAAUGGAUCAUGACCAGAGACCUUGAUACCAGCAUCCGACGAGUGGCACAGUCCUAUGUGCGCAUUCACAGGAGGCUCUCAGUUUCGCAGCGGCACCAUAAGUCAUUAAUCAUGACACCAUUACCGAACUGGCACCAAUAGAGAAUCUCACGUAGCAAAAAUAGAUUGUGCCAAGACAACACAUUGAUAUAGUCUCAUAAUGGAUUACAACUAUUAUCCGUGAUACCAGCGCGUGCCAAGCAGCGCAUCCAUGUGUCGAUCGUCCACAUGAGGCCCUCGGUUUUGUCGCAGCACCAUCGGUUUUAGUUAUAACACCAUUUCCAGACGUAACCAAUAAGAAAUCUCACGCGACACAAAUAGACUGAGCAAGGGUGACAAUAUACAAAGAGAUACUCCACCUGUAAGAAUGGUUACAAGUAGAGAGCCAAUAGAUCAUGGCCCGAUGAAAUGAACAAGACAUGGCCAUAACCUAAACUUGUUGAAAGGAGUAUGAUGGGAGACUGUUAAUUUAGCCCCAAACAUAUUUCUAUGCCCAUCAUAGGGAUUACAAGGUCAAGGAUUAGUAUCUGACUAGAUGCAGAGUAAAAAUAAUCAUGAGAUUAAGUUGGUAUGCCUUCGAUAGAAAUGAGGAAAUCAAAGGCAUCAAAUUCAAGAAAAUGAUUGGACAUGUCUUUCCUAGGUUAGGUUGAUAAAACAACAUGGCGGUUCUUAAGAACAGGCAAACUAGAUAAGGGACAUCAGCUUGCACCAACCGAACAAGGAUAUGGUUUAGGAUGGAGACAUGACUCGAGAUUCUUGUUUCACGUCCGGGUACACUUUAGGUCCAACAAAGAAAUUAUCUAGGCAUUUGUUUGUAUGUGUUUGGUAAUGUAGUGGUGAUGGACAAUUCAACUUUGGGUCAUGGUUCACUAAAUAAGAACACAGCCUAUUUUUGGGUUUAGACAAAUAGGUCACAAACAUUCUAUCUGCACUUCAAGCACAAGAGCAAACACCAUAUAAGACCUUAACAGGUUACCUAAAGAAUGGAGGACAACUAUUUUCUCGAAGUUCGUAAUACAAUAUUACACCACAUUAUUUACAAUCAAUGGUUACUAGAAUAAGGCGAGGGAAGCAUUUUGAGUGUAUAGGUGACAAACAUGAUGCAAGCAUCAGGAUGCAUGCUCGUCCUAUUCGUCCUCACAAGUUUUGCCAACAUAAUGUGGCGAUAGCGUUCUAUAUCGGUGACCGACUUAUGACUCUCACGGUAUAUUGCUAGUCGUCAGCUACACAUACGUUUUUGAAGUUAGUGUACCUGCAGAAAAUUCCAUCACAGCCCAAUUUCCCAAUGAUGCAAGAUCCACACAUGACAGUUUAUCACAGUUUAUACUCCAUAUAUUGCUAUAUGGAGGCCAGCUCAUCAUUAAGCGUCGAGCCACGCAUAGGCGCCGUUGCCACACUUUAACCAUAGGGCAACCCAUUAUGGUAACUUACCUUCUUACCUGAGCGUAGGUGCGUCGUUACAAGUACAUUACAAUUCUCAGUAUUCCCAUGUCUGUAUACCCAUACACAUCCAUGGGGUACUGAAUUCCCGAAAAAGUAAAUGCUCCACAUCGCAGCUUUCGUAUAUACAUAUGUAGAACAUGUAUAUAGUCAAGCGCCACAAUUAAGCACUUCCCUAGACCGACGGUUGUUCGGUCAUGCUCUCACAUCUCACCUUACCUGAGCGUCGAUCCAUUCAAAACUGAAUAGCCUUAAAAAUAACAAUACACAUGUAUGCAAUACCCACUCGGUUGUGGGUUAGUGGUUUUAACUAAGCCACCUGAUAGUCCUUAACUUAGGGCUUAACAGAGGAUGUCGCUAGCAUUAUAGUUUUUCAAAGCUGUUUUUCAAAACCAAACAAUGUGUUUAGUUGAAAAUAAGUUUUUCAAAACCAAACAAUGUGUUUAGUUGAAAAUAAGUUUUUCAAAACCAAAACUUUUGUUUUGAAAAUACGUAUGUGACCGUAUAUACUUAAUCCUGCUCCGAUACCAGCUGUUGCAGAACCUCCAAAGUUAUUGGGCCCACAUGCACCUGUCCUUGUCACAAAGACCUCAGACAGCUAUGCAUGUGCACCAGAUAACUUAACAGGAUCCGUCCGAUUGCCCAAGGACAUCGGAUAAACCACUUACAACCAGAACCACGGGAUUAAGUAACACAAAUCACACACACAACAUUUUUGCAGCGAAAAUCUUAUUACCAAAUUUUACAGGUUACAAAAAUUUUACAUUAUUUUAUCGGAGUGAUUACAAAAGUAUAUGUUUGAAAUAUAUGCUAGCUCAAGUGAUCAUCCUCAAUAAGAAGUAUAGAAGAAGUACAUAGACUUAUAAGAAGGUCAAGCCCACCGACACUUAACACCAUCAACAGCAGCACAAAAUUAAAACCUGAAAAACAACAGGGAAUAAAACCGUGAGUAUGGAAUUACUCAGCAAGUCUUACCCGACUAAAGAAAAGACUCUCAAGGGUAUGCUGGAUUUGGGAAUCAAGGAGAGGCUUUAGCAAGAAUCAACUUAGAUACUUUUGCAGAAAUAGCUUACUAAAGUGAGUCCUUACUUUCAAUAUUUUAACGCCAGAUUAAAUAUUAAUAGACUCUGUUUGCAUUUGGUCUAAUUUCACCAUCUCAUCAAUACAACAUCAUUUUUAUUCAUGAGGUUCACAUCCUGACUUAGGUUGUAGGUCAGUGACCAAGUCUUCAUAACCGCGAAGGUACGGCGAUCCGAAUCGAUUAUACUCAGCUGAGGAUCUCCAAUCACACGACAUAUGUAGCACUUAACCCUUGCAUAUGUCAACUCGCCACCGGGGUUCUUAAGACCAGAUCAGGUUCACGCCAACCGAGAGCACAGAUACACCACCGUCCAGCCUCUUGCCACGGAGGGUACACGCUACUCUCGCCACCGCUCCAUGCCCAAUCCGUGUUAUCUUAUUCUGGCCUUAGUCUGCCCGAGGCAAAGCUUACCCACGACGAGGCAUGUGACCAGUUAAAGGGUCCUCGAUCAUCAAGCCUACAUACGCAUCCAAUCCUUAAUCAACCUGGGUAGAACAUCACCUGUUCCUAGCCUAAGUCCCGAUUUAAGUACUUUCAUCCUUAGGAUUGUUUGUUUUCCUUAGGACGAAAAGAGCAUUAUAGGGAACUUUGCAGUAAGAUCCCACUAUGCUCCCAAUGAAAAUAUUCUUGCAUGUAGAAGCCAUCUUUCCUCAGGAUAACCCCUGAGCUAGGCCUUAUUGCGAAAGACAACUUCUACCCACAAGAUCUAAGCAGAGCUAAGCAUUUUUGUAAAUCAUAUUUUGAUACUUCACCAGAAGUAUCUAUAAAGGUAUGGAUAUCAAGGAAGGCAAUGCAUCAAAGGGUUCCAAGCAACUCCU